CCGAGUUUACAACUCCCAAACCCCUGUGAACAUACCUAUCGUUGCUUCGGCGGAUCGCCCCAGUUGACGCCAUCUGGACCGGAUCAGGCGCCCGCCGGAGGACCCAAACUCUUGUAUUUAUUUAUGUAUCUUCUGAGUAAACAAGCAAAUAAAUUA
rnacentral:misc_RNA from 1 species